AGUCAAGUAAUUAAGUGCAUGUGGUGGAUGCCUUGGCAGUCAGAGGCGAUGAAAGACGUGAUAGCCUGCGAAAAGCUCCGGGAGGCGGCAAAUAUCCUUUGAUCCGGAGAUGUCUGAAUGGGGAACCCACCUACUUUAAGGUAGGUAUUGCAACAUGAAUACAUAGUGUUGCAAGGCGAACGAGGGGAAGUGAAACAUCUCAGUACCCUUAGGAAAAGAAAUCAAUUGAGAUUCCCUCAGUAGCGGCGAGCGAACGGGGAUCAGCCCAUUAAGUUAUGUGUGUUUUAGUGGAACGCUCUGGGAAGUGCGAACGUAGAGGGUGAUAUUCCCGUACACGAAAGGGCACACAUAAUGAUGACGAGUAGGGCGAGGCACGUGAAACCUUGUCUGAAUAUGGGGGACCAUCCUCCAAGGCUAAAUACUCCUGACUGACCGAUAGUGAACCAGUACCGUGAGGGAAAGGCGAAAAGAACCCCUGUGAGGGGAGUGAAAUAGAUCCUGAAACCGCAUGCAUACAAGCAGUGGGAGCACCUUCGUGGUGUGACUGCGUACCUUUUGUAUAAUGGGUCAGCGACUUAUAUUCAGUAGCGAGGUUAACCGUAUAGGGGAGCCGUAGAGAAAUCGAGUCUUAAUAGGGCGUUUAGUUGCUGGGUAUAGACCCGAAACCAGGCGAUCUAUCCAUGAGCAGGUUGAAGGUUGGGUAACACUAACUGGAGGACCGAACCCACUGUCGUUGAAAAGCCAGGGGAUGACUUGUGGAUAGGGGUGAAAGGCUAAUCAAGCCUGGUGAUAGCUGGUUCUCCCCGAAAGCUAUUUAGGUAGCGCCUCGGACGAAUACCAUAGGGGGUAGAGCACUGUUUCGGCUAGGGGGUCAUCCCGACUUACCAAACCGAUGCAAACUCCGAAUACCUAUGAGUACUAUCCGGGAGACAGACUGCGGGUGCUAACGUCCGUAGUCAAGAGGAAAACAAUCCAGACCGCCAGCUAAGGCCCCAAAAUCAUAGUUAAGUGGGAAACGAUGUGGGAAGGCAUAGACAGCUAGGAGGUUGGCUUAGAAGCAGCCACCCUUUAAAGAAAGCGUAAUAGCUCACUAGUCGAGUCGGCCUGCGCGGAAGAUGUAACGGGGCUAAAACUAUGUGCCGAAGCUGCGGAUGUAUACUUUGUAUACGUGGUAGGGGAGCGUUCUGUAAGCCGAUGAAGGUGUGUUGAGAAGCAUGCUGGAGGUAUCAGAAGUGCGAAUGCUGACGUGAGUAACGACAAAACGGGUGAAAAACCCGUUCGCCGAAAGACCAAGGGUUCCAGUCCAACGUUAAUCGGGGCUGGGUGAGUCGACCCCUAAGGCGAGGCCGAAAGGCGUAGUCGAUGGGAAAAUGGUUAAUAUUCCAUUACUUCUGUGUAAUGCGAUGAGAGGACGGAGAAGGCUAAAUCAGCCUGGCGUUGGUUGUCCAGGUGAAAGGAUGUAGGCAUGUAUCUUAGGCAAAUCCGGGGUACUCUAUGCUGAGAUCUGAUAGCAAGCUGUACUUGUACAGCGAAGUGGUUGAUGCCAUGCUUCCAGGAAAAGUCUCUAAGCUUCAGUUACACAGGAAUCGUACCCGAAACCGACACAGGUGGUCAGGUCGAGUAGACCAAGGCGCUUGAGAGAACUCUGCUGAAGGAACUAGGCAAAAUGGUACCGUAACUUCGGGAGAAGGUACGCUGUUGUUGGUGAUGGAACUCGCUUCCUGAGCUGACGACAGCCGCAGAAACCAGGCCGCUGCAACUGUUUAUUAAAAACAUAGCACUCUGCAAACACGAAAGUGGACGUAUAGGGUGUGAUGCCUGCCCGGUGCUGGAAGGUUAAUUGAUGGGGUUAGCGUAAGCGAAGCUCUUGAUCGAAGCCCCAGUAAACGGCGGCCGUAACUAUAACGGUCCUAAGGUAGCGAAAUUCCUUGUCGGGUAAGUUCCGACCUGCACGAAUGGCAUAAUGAUGGCGGCGCUGUCUCCAGCAGAGGCUCAGUGAAAUCGAAUCGCUGUGAAGAUGCAGUGUACCCGCGGCUAGACGGAAAGACCCCGUGAACCUUUACUGCAGCUUGACACUGAACUUUGACCUUACUUGUGUAGGAUAGGUGGGAGGCUUUGAAGCUGGAACGCUAGUUCCAGUGGAGCCGUCCUUGAAAUACCACCCUGGUAAUGUUGAGGUUCUAACUCUGUCCCGUGAUCCGGGACGAGGACCGUGUCUGGUGGGUAGUUUGACUGGGGCGGUCUCCUCCUAAAGAGUAACGGAGGAGUACGAAGGUGCGCUCAGCGUGGUCGGAAAUCACGCGUAGAGUAUAAAGGCAAAAGCGCGCUUAACUGCGAGACCCACAAGUCGAGCAGGUACGAAAGUAGGUCUUAGUGAUCCGGUGGUUCUGUAUGGAAGGGCCAUCGCUCAACGGAUAAAAGGUACUCUGGGGAUAACAGGCUGAUACCGCCCAAGAGUUCAUAUCGACGGCGGUGUUUGGCACCUCGAUGUCGGCUCAUCUCAUCCUGGGGCUGAAGCAGGUCCCAAGGGUAUGGCUGUUCGCCAUUUAAAGAGGUACGCGAGCUGGGUUUAGAACGUCGUGAGACAGUUCGGUCCCUAUCUACCGUGGGCGCUGGAAAUUUGAGAGGAUCUGCUCCUAGUACGAGAGGACCAGAGUGGACGAACCUCUGGUGUACCGGUUGUGACGCCAGUCGCAUCGCCGGGUAGCUAUGUUCGGAAGGGAUAACCGCUGAAAGCAUCUAAGCGGGAAGCCUACCUCAAGAUAAGAUUUCCCUAGGACUUUAUGUCCUCUAAAGAGCCGUUCGAGACUAGGACGUUGAUAGGUUGGAUGUGGAAGCAUAGUGAUAUGUGAAGCUGACCAAUACUAAUUGCUCGUGAGGCUUGACUAU
rnacentral:rRNA from 1 species